GUGCUCACUUUGGCAGCACAUAUAUUAAAAUUAGAACAAUACAGAGAAGAUUGGCAUGGCUCUUGAGCAAGGAUCAUACCCAAAUUCAUACAAUGUUCCACAGUUUU